ACUGUUUGUGUUUCUUGAAAAUUAUUGCUUCAAUUAAUUUUUUGGUAGAUAGAACCUUUAUAAUUCCAAGCGAAAAGUGAUGUUUUAGAAUUAGAAGGUUCUAUCUGCGUUUGACCCGUUCGAAAAAUCCCCAUUUACAAAUUUGAGAGGAUUUUGAUAUUGUAUAUUUAGAAUACAUUUAGGGUCCCUGUCAUUUUCAUGUUUGAAAGAAACUUGUUCCCCAUAUAAUUUUUGCUAUGUGGAAUACAAAAACUUUGAAGCUCAAUAUCUCAAAACUGCUCAGAACGCAGAUAGAACCUCAUAAUUCCAAGGGGACGAAGUGUUGUGUAGGCUUUUAGUUUUUAUAGAAAUAAAUAAAAUAAAUUAGUCUGAGGGCCAGCACACCGUUUACAGUCUACAUAUGGUCAUCAGUUCUCAUUUUCUCUAUUAGGGAUGGUGGCAAAACUUUAUCUAGUAAGAAUGACACCAUUUUUUUAGUAAUCUUGACUAAAUGAAUUUAAGUUCUUACAACACAUUAUUUCAAACAAAUUUGAUAUUAUUGGAAAAAUGUAAUUCAAUUUCGUGGAAAAGUUUUCCUUAAUUUAAUGAAGUUCGUUCAACAGCUUUUUUUUUAAUGUGCACAAAUAAAAUGUUUAGGUCACAGCUGUGUCUCUGAGAAAAAAAUUACCAGAGAUUUGAUAGUUUUGAUCGUUUUGAUGUUAUUGAACUCUGAAACCAGAACGAACAACUUUUGUUUGUUUGUUUGUUUGAAUGAUCUGAAUGUAUGCGUUCUCAGCCACAUCAAACCAUGACUGGCUUGACUGUUCAAGGCUUAUACGUUAAAGAUUGCAUAUGACCGAACAUUUUACCGUACUCUUUUUUAUGGAUCCUAAAAUUUCACAUACAGGACAAAUGAGCAGCCCUGAGUCCAAACCCACGGGCUUCAUCACAUAAAUGCAGUUACGUACAGUCCUGUCAGACAAGCUGUCCCACUUCACCCUGAUCUGAUUUCCUAAUAAUUUAUAAUUUAGUAAUAGGCCAAUUAUUUGUGAAAGCAGUAGGCCUAUUUGCGAUAAAUGAGAAAUUGACAACUUGAGGGAUUUUUUUUAUAGCAACAAAACUUAUGCUUAUUUUUUUAGGGAUGACGUCAUUACGCACACCAUUUUAUUGGUAAAAGGCCAAUUAGAUGGAAACAGGCUGGUGAAAUCAAAUUUCGCAAUCUUUUUUAGGCAUAUUCACUUUGUCGAUAAAUAAAAUGCAAAAAUUGGAUGGAAACGUGAAACUUCAUUGUUUUGGAAAUAAUCCACAAGUUGCGAUUUGAGGAGUGUCUUAGGGACACGUCCACAACAGGGGAAAUAUAAUGAAUGUUCAUGUAGCUACACCCACUGGAACAGUUUUUUACUGGAACUGAAUAUUACACAACAACCCCAAAGUGAAACUCCGCCUAUUCAUUCAGCCCUUUGAUGUCAUGUGAUUUUGGGAGCAUAAAUAGUGGAACAGAAUCAAUCUGUGAGACAGACUGCCUGAUAAUACAGUUUAUUUCAUCCAGGCUUUGAUCACCAGCACACUGAAGAAAUGUCAAAUCUUGCAGAAUGGACCACAGAGGAGACUAUCACUCCAGAGGUGGAGAAGAUCUGCUGUGAGGUGAAGUCAGACAUAGAGAAGAAGGCUGGAGCCAAUUUUAAGGCUUACAUUCCUUUAAGCUUUAGGACUCAGCUUGUGGCCGGAAGAAACUAUCUGGUGAAGGUGUACGUUGAAGUGGGUGUGUGUGUUCAUGCGAUGAUAUUUCAAGCUCUCCCCUGCAAUGGAGGGAAACUGACUGUGAUUGGAGUCCAGUACACUAAAAGCGCCUGUGAAUGUCUGAUCCCAUUUCAUGACUAACCACAUGCAGAAAACAGUCUGUCUUAUCUAAUAACAGACACACACAAUGAUCUGCCAUACUGUAUAGAGGAACUAUUGAAAACUGUUUCAUUCCUCAAUAUUAAACUCAAUAUUCAAACUCUCA